UACGUAGGGGGGCAAGCGUUGUCCGGAUUUAUUGGGCGUAAAGAGCGUGUAGGCGGCCUGAAAGGUCAGCUGUGAAAACUCGAGGCUCAACCUCGAGACGUCGGUUGAAACCAUCUGGCUAGAGUCCGGAAGAGGAGUGUGGAAUUCCCCGGUGUAGCGGUGAAAUGCGCAGAUAUCGGGGAAGAACACCCGUGGCGAAGGCGGCACUCUGGGACGGUACUGACGCUGAGACGGCGAAAGCGUGGGGAGCGAACAGG
rnacentral:rRNA from 1 species